UCGAACGGCAGCACGGACUUCGGUCUGGUGGUGAACAGGUGAGUAAUGUAUCGGAACGUGCCUGUAGCAGGGGAUAACUGCAUGGCCAGCUAAUGCGCAUACGCCCUUCGGGGAAAGCGGGGGACCUUCCGGGCCUCGCACUAUUAGAGCGGCCGAUAUCGGAUUAGCUAGUUGGUGGGGUAACAGCUCACCAAGGCGACGAUCCGUAGCUGGUUUUGAGAGGACGACCAGCCACACUGGGACUGAGACACGGCCCAGACUCCUGCAGGAGGCAGCAGUGGGGAAUUUUGGUUGUCGGGGAAACCCUGAUCCAGCCAUCCCGCGUGUGCGAUGACCUUCGGGUUGUAAAGCACUUUUGGCAGGAAAGAAACAUGGGAUAAUACCCCGUACAACUGAUGAUGCCCUGCAGAAUAAGCACCGGCCUUUAACUACGUGCCAGCAGCCGCGGUAAUACCCGUAGGGUGCAAGCGUUAAUCGGAAUUACCGGGCGUAAAAGCGUGCGAAGGCGGUUCGGAAAGAAGAUGUGAACUCCCAGGCUUAACUUUGGAACUGCAUUUUUAACUACCGAGCUAGGAGUGUGUCGGGGGAGGUGGAAUUCCCGCGUGUAGCAGUGAAAUGCGUAGAUAUGCGGAGGAACACCGAUGGCGAAGGCAGCCUCCUGGGAUAACACUGACGCUCAUGCACGAAAAAGCGUGGGGAGCAAACGGGAUUAGAUACCCUGGUAGUCCGCCCUAAACGAUGCUCAGCUAGCUGUUGGGGCCUUCGGGCCUUGUUGGCCGCAAUAACGCGUGAAGUUGACCGCACCCAGAGAUACGGUCGCAAGAUUAAAACUCAAAAGGAAUUGACGGGGACCCGCACAAGCAGUGGAUGAUAGUUAAUUCGAUGCAACGCGAAAAACUAUACCUACGCCGACAUGUCUGGAAUCCCGAAGAGAUUUGGGAGUGCUCGCAAAGAGAACCGGAACACAGGUACUGCAUGGCUGUCGUCAGCUCGACGUGAGAUGUUGGGUUAAGUCCCGCAACGAAGGCGCAACCCUUGUCAUUAGUUGCUACGAAAGGGCACUCCUGUAAUGAGACUGCCGGUAAACCGGAGGAAGGUGAGGAUGACGUCAAGUCCUCAAUGGCCCUUAUGGGUGAGGCUACGCACGUCAUACAAUGGUCGGAGACAGAGGGUCGCCAACCCCGCGAGAAGGAGCCAAUCCCAAAGCGAUCGUAGUCCGGAUCGCAGUCUGCAACUCGGCUACGUGGUCGGAAUCGCUAGUAAUCAUGAGGAUCAGCAUGUCGCGGUGAAUACGUUCCCGGGUCUUGUACACACACCGCCCGUCACACCAUGGGGGUAGGUUUUACAGAAGCCCAGUUAGCUAACCGUAAGGAGGGCGAUUACACACGAUAGGAUUCAUGACUGGGGUGAAAUCGCUAAUAAGGUAG
rnacentral:rRNA from 1 species